rnacentral:rRNA from 1 species
AGGAUUAACGCUGGCGGCGUGCAUGAAACAUGCAAGUCGAGCGCGGUGUGAUGCGGGGUAACCCAAUUCACAUCUAGCGGCGAACGGGUGAGUAACACGUGAGCAACCUACCUUUGAGUUGGGGAUAGCCCUGGGAAACCAGGAUUAAUACCCAAUGUGGUCACAACAGGACAUCCUGAUGUGAGUAAAGGCGUAAGCCGCUCAAUGAUGGGCUCGCGGCCUAUCAGCUUGUUGGUGGGGUAAUGGCCUACCAAGGCGACGACGGGUAGCCGGCCUGAGAGGGCGACCGGCCACACUGGGACUGAGACACGGCCCAGACUCCUACGGGAGGCAGCAGUGGGGAAUAUUGCGCAAUGGGCGAAAGCCUGACGCAGCGACGCCGCGUGGGGAUGAAGGCCUUCGGGUUGUAACCCUUUCGGCAGGGACGAAGCGAAAGUGACGGUACCUGCAAAGAGCGCCGGCUACUACGCGCCAGCAGCCGCGGU